rnacentral:rRNA from 1 species
CCUACGGGGUGCAGCAGUGAGGAAUAUUGGUCAAUGGACGAGAGUCUGAACCAGCCAAGUAGCGUGAAGGGUGACUGCCCUAUGGGUUGUAAACUUCUUUUAUAUGGGAAUAAAAUGUUCCACGUGUGGGAUUUUGUCUGUACCUUAUGAAUAAGGAUCGGCUAACUCCGUGCCAGCAGCCGCGGUAAUACGGAGGAUCCGAGCGUUAUCCGGAUUUAUUGGGUUUAAAGGGAGCGUAGGUGGAUUGUUAAGUCAGUUGUGAAAGUUUGCGGCUCAACCGUAAAAUGGCAGUUGAAACUGGCAGUCUUGCGUACAGUAGAGGUGGGCGGAAUUCGUGGUGUAGCGGUGAAAUGCUUAGAUAUCACGAAGAACUCCGAUUGCGAAGGCAGUUCACUGGACUGCAACUGACACUGAGGCUCGAAAGUGUGGGUAUCAAACAGGAUUAGAUACCCGUGUAGUC